CCUACGGGGGGCAGCAGUGAGGAAUAUUGGUCAAUGGACGAGAGUCUGAACCAGCCAAGUAGCGUGAAGGAUGACUGCCCUAUGGGUUGUAAACUUCUUUUAUAUGGGAAUAAAAUGUUCCACGUGUGGGAUUUUGUAUGUACCAUAUGAAUAAGGAUCGGCUAACUCCGUGCCAGCAGCCGCGGUAAUACGGAGGAUCCGAGCGUUAUCCGGAUUUAUUGGGUUUAAAGGGAGCGUAGGUGGAUUGUUAAGUCAGUUGUGAAAGUUUGCGGCUCAACCGUAAAAUUGCAGUUGAAACUGGCAGUCUUGAGUACAGUAGAGGUGGGCGGAAUUCGUGGUGUAGCGGUGAAAUGCUUAGAUAUCACGAAGAACUCCGAUUGCGAAGGCAGUUCACUGGACUGCAACUGACACUGAGGCUCGAAAGUGUGGGUAUCAAACGGGAUUAGAUACCCGAGUAGUC
rnacentral:rRNA from 1 species